UGAACGCUGGCGGCGUGCUUAACACAUGCAAGUCGACCGAAGCACUUUAUUUGAUUUCCUUCGGGACUGAUUAUUUUGUGACUGAGUGGCGGACGGGUGAGUAACGCGUGGGUAACCUGCCUUGUACAGGGGGAUAACAGUUGGAAACGGCUGCUAAUACCGCAUAAGCGCACAGCAUCGCAUGAUGCAGUGUGAAAAACUCCGGUGGUAUAAGAUGGACCCGCGUUGGAUUAGCUAGUUGGUGAGGUAACGGCCCACCAAGGCGACGAUCCAUAGCCGACCUGAGAGGGUGACCGGCCACAUUGGGACUGAGACACGGCCCAAACUCCUACGGGAGGCAGCAGUGGGGAAUAUUGCACAAUGGGCGAAAGCCUGAUGCAGCGACGCCGCGUGAGCGAAGAAGUAUUUCGGUAUGUAAAGCUCUAUCAGCAGGGAAGAUAAUGACGGUACCUGACUAAGAAGCACCGGCUAAAUACGUG
rnacentral:rRNA from 1 species